UAAGGUACGUGGAAGAGGAGAAGUAAAAGAUAGGUAGCUUGUACAGAGAAAACCAUGUCAUGCUGAGAGUGGUUGAAGCACGUGUCUUUGAAAUGCACCUCGGAGUUUCUUCCAGAACGCACGGAGUACGGAAGAACGGUUUGCCACCGUUAUCGGUUCAAGUCGAGGGUGAAAAAUCUGCCUAAACAGAGUGGAACCGCGCCUGAAGCGUCUCUGAG
rnacentral:ncRNA from 1 species